rnacentral:lncRNA from 1 species
CAAUGUAUAGAAUGCAGACUUUCGAAGCACUCUGUCUAUUGGUCCUCGGAUGCAAUUUCCUUGCCUUUAUCGAAGGACUCACCACCUUGACACAGUACACAAUCGAGAAAUUCACCAAAUUGGUACUAAAUUGAAAUUAAACUAAUUUAGACUAUUAAUGCAUAAUAUGGAAUGCAAAAAAAUGCACUGGUAACUAUCUAAACUCGAUAUUGGCCUAAUUCGUCCUAUCACCCGAUUAAAUUACUAACGAGUCCAAUUUAAUCCCAAAUUACUCCAAAUCGUUCCAAUUCUUUUUCAAUAUCUUAAUUCACCAAAUUCAAAUCAAAUAACCUAAAAUUUGGCAAAACUAUCUUCACUUUUCUUCUUAAAAUUUUUGGCCAAUAAUGGUGCAUUAACACCGUGAUUUUUCCUACUACUUUCCCACACCAUAAUUCAUCAUUUCUUAACCAAUUCUCCUAGAAUAAAAAUCAAACUCAUCCUCACUCAAUACAUGGUAAAUUCGACCAUUAAUGGUUGUGGGAGAAAAUAAAUUCUUUUCUUGUUGUUUUGUUUCUAAAUAUGCUAAACUAACUAAAAACACUAACAUAACUUAAAAUCAAAUCAAUCCAACAACUUUCUCUCUCCUAACCCAUUUUGAUCAGCCAACAAUUCAUCAUAAAAACAUGUAAUUUAAGCAUGGAAAAUAAGGAGAAAUGCUUAAGGAAAAUAGAUUUCAAGCUUAAGUUGAAAAAUCCUACCUUUUUCACUUGUUUUCUUUGAUUUUCCACACUUUUUCUCUUGAAAUUCCUCACCUAGGGUUUGUUCUUCCUUUCUUUCCCUCUCUUCCUUGCUUGGCCGAAUAUUUGGAGAGUAAUGGGCUGAUUUAUGCUGAUUUUUAAGUUAAACAAUAAAUUAUCCUAAGCUUAACACAUGGCAUUUUCUUAUUGGUCCAUUUUUAAAAUUUUAAAAAUUUAAACAUUUUAUCUCCACCACAUGAUUAGUCAAAGGUCAAAAAUGAGGAUAAAGGAAGACCAUGUGCUGGAAAAUUAUCCUGGUGGUGGAAAAUUAUAAUUUUGCCCCUAAGGUGGCAAAAUUACUAUUUUACCCUUAUACUCUAAAUUAUACCGAAAUUAACAUUUUCCACUUCUAAACCUCAAAUCAUACUCCAAUACUCAAAUCAUACUCCAAUAAGUCAAAUGGGGCCAAAUAAAUCUUUUCUAAAAAUUACCAUUUUGUCCCCAAGUGGCAAAUGACCAUUUUGCCCCUAGAUAGUGAAAAUUUCGAUUUGACUCCAAAUUGAUCCUCAAACUCCGAAUUACCAUUUUGAGUCAUCCUUGGACUGUGACGAUCUUAAUCUCACCUUAAAAUUCCUAUUUGAUCUAGUUCAAGGUUUAAAUCAACUUUGUUGUACCUCUAGGUACAAUACCGACUUUUGAAAAUUUUUCGGGACUCUCUUGGCAUGCAAUCAUGCUAUCAUCACAUGUAUGUCAUGACUAGUAUUUUAUAAGGUCAAGUUUUACAAAAGUCAUUUCACAAAUUGCUUAUAUUUUCACAUCUUGGUUUACUAUUUUGAUUAAACCCUUUCUACCAUCAUUACUUAUAUAUUUCUUGAAAAUAUUCUUCUUAAAUUGCUUUUAUUUGAUUUACACUUGAAAAACAUUUUAUAGUAUUUCAAAGUGAUUAUUUACCUAUGUUUAUUUGAGCAGACUUGAUUAAAAUUUGUAUAUUCAUCAAGGCUUAUACUAGAACUCCUUUUGCAAGCUUUCAAAAUGAGUUUCUCAUUUAGGAUCGACUAUCAGGUCUUUAUAAUUGAGUAUAUAUUUGUCUAAAUAGUUUUUGAAAAGGUGUAACAAGGUGAAAUACAACCAUAGUCGACUAGAGCUUCUCCCUAGUCAUCUAUAGCAAUUCAUACUUCAUUCUUUAAAGUUUUUAAAGUCCAAUUCACCCCUCUCUUGAACAUUCUUAUUACUUGAUUCAUCAAGCUAACAUUUUUUACAAUGGUUUUUAAUUACUAAUUAAGAGUAACCUUUGAUGUGUAAAAGUACAUUUCUGCUAUAAACGUAAUGCUAAACAAAAACUGGUAAAAGUACCUAAUUUAGUCCUUAUAUGAUAGAUCUUUGUUCAAUUUAAUCUCUAUACUUUACAUUUUUGUUCAAUUUAGUCCAUAUGACAUGGCACCAAAAAACUAAUCUGGAUAAAAAAAAUAUUGGGCAUGCCACGUCGUUGUUGCCAUGUCAACAUGUCAACGUCAAGCCAACCAUGUUAGCAUAGUCUGACAUGUCAGUGCCACAUCAACACCAUUAACAGUCAAUUUGGAUGGCGUUAGGGGGGGACUUGAUUAUACAAAAGCUCAAAAUACAAAGACUAAAUUGACCAAAUUUAAGGUAAAAAGACUGAAUUGACGAAAGCUCGAUAGUAUAGGGACUUAUGAGAUACUUUAACCAUUUUUAAUUUGGUCCCCGCCCCACAUCAUAAGAAUGAACAAUAAUAACAUAUUGAUUUGAAACUCUGAACAAUAAUAACAUAUUGAUUUGAAACUCUAAUGUAACUCCAAUAUGUAAAAUUAGUUCAUGUUCAAGAUUUGUCAACUUAGAUUGCAAAUCAUUAGCAUGCCUAACAAAUUUGGUCUUAAGUGAUUCCUUAUCUUUAAAAUGAAUUGCAAGUUCUUUAAGCUUCCUAGUUUGGUCUUUGGCCGAUGUACUAAAGGAUGAUUCAAGGUUAAUGAAUUUGCAAACUUGUCCAAAGUAUUCCUGCACUAUAUUCCUUAAUGAGAAUGAAUCAACAUUUUCGACCCUUCUUAUUACAUUAAGAACCUAUUGAACCUCCACAAUAAGAGAAGAAACUUUAUUGAAGGGAAAUUUAACGAUCUUUGGUUGAAUACUCUCCCAUAAGGUCAUGACAAGCUUUGAAUGACAAUCAUGGAUCACCCUAUCAACAUUAAAUUUAGAAACUUCUAGAGGUGCAAAAUGACUAACCUCGGCACACAACUUAGUCGCACUCUUAGAAGCAUCACCAAUUUCUUUAGCAAUUACAUAAGGAAAAGUAUUUUCUUAAUUUAAGGACGUGUCUGAAAUCUGAAGCAAAACAAUUUCCUAUCUCAGUUGCAAGCUUGUUAAAUCCAUGAGGAUUAGAAACUAAAGCUUUAAUAUUAGUAGGAUUUACCUCAUCAAUAACCUUUUUGGCUAAGUCUUAGCUUUGAAGAUAAGAAUAAAUAAAUAAAUAAAUAAAUAAAAGUUAUUCCCAUAAAAUAGAAAGAAAAAAAUCAGAAAUUUAUGAUAUAGUUACCAAAUCAUCAAAAAUUUCUAGAAGUAAAAAGCAACUAGGAACAUUUUCCAGAAAUGAAAAACCAAAAGGGUAUGAUACCUUUUGGUACUUUGGUGUGGUUCACUGUCAAUGUCUCUCACAAUCAAUUUCACUACCAUAGUCUUCAAUAGCUGUUUUUUUCAAGAGUUCCUUAUUUAGCACUUGUAUGUUGAAACAAUCGAAAGCUUUGUAUUUUUUAAGGUUUAUUGCAUUCUCUACUAGAGACAUUUGUUGCUACAAGCACUUUAUUCUUGUCUUGUUCAAUUUUGGAAGGCCUUUCCUUUUGUUGCCUUGAUCGUAUGGUUAGUGUUUGAUGGGUACUAGAAAUCAAAGCUUCGAUACUGUAGACACUACCUAUAUUAUCUUUUAUCUUUUCUACCUUUAAGAAUUAAUUAUCAUUACCAUAGUUUAAUUUUAUUCACUUAUUAUCUUCAAGUUAAUUUAGACUUAAUUUAAUUUCUAUUCCUAUUUUUGUAUAGACUAACUUUCACUAAUGUCAUGGGCCAAUGUCCAGUCCGAAAUUGAAAAAUUAAGCUUUUAGGUCUUUGGGCAGCUUUGAGCACAUUGGUGGUCCAUAUCAAAAACUAGUCUAAUAAAACUAAUGCAAUUGAGGAUGGAUCAAAACAAUUAAAACAGAUUAAAACACUAAUCAAAGAUUAAAAUUUCAAACAAAAUAUGGAAUACUUUAGAAACAGAUAAAAUAAAUAAAGCAUAAUAAUAAAAAAAGGCUAGACAACUGGCAAGGUGCGGACACAAUACGAUAUGCCAGACUCGAAAAACUCGCGUCUAGCAGAAAGUGGAAACGACACCCCCAAGAUUGGAAUUGGGUAUAAAAACACUACUAUAUCAACUACAAAGAGGGGGGGGGGGGGAAACAAAAAAAAUCAAAAAAACCCUAAGAGUUCUAGCAACUAGAAGCCACAAAAAAAAAAAAAAAAAAAGAGAAAGAAAGGGAAGCUUUGGGUUAUCUGCCGCCGGUUAGAAAGGAAAAGCUUGGGGUUAGAGUCACCGGUCUGUAAGGUUAGAAAAAUGGGAGCUUUGGGUUAUCUGUCGCCGAUUAGAGAGGAAAAGUUUGGGGUUAGAGUCGCUGGUCGGUAAGGUUAGAAAAGGGGGAGCUUUGGGUUAUUUGCCGUCGGUUAGAGAGGAAAGAUUCGGGGUCUAGUUGCCACUAGUGAUAUUAAAGAGAGAGUUGAUGAAAGAGCCAAAGGAAAAUGGGGAGAGAGUUUUAGAGCGUGACUGGUUUUAGGAAGGGAAAGAUAAAGAAGAGGCCUUCACCCUUUUGUACCUUAAACAGUGCACUUUGACCGGAGAAGAAGUGGGCUUCUGGGGCGGUUGUGGGCAUCUACGAAGUCUAGUUUUUGCUAAUCUAAACCCAAAUCUUUGUAUGUUUUGGACUCUAAAGUUAUUGGGUUUGAAUCUUUGAUGGUUGUUUUGAAUGGUUUUAUUUUAUGCAUUCUGUUUCACUUAUUUAUUUCAUUUAUUUUUAGGUAAACAAAAUUACAGCUUUUAUAAAAAAGGAUGUGAAAAACAUAUAUGGUACUUUUUACAAAUAUAAAAUCAACGGUAGGGGAAAGGAAAUUGUUAAAACAUCAAAAAGUAAAAAAAAAAUUAUAUUCAAGUAUAAAAUAGAUUAAAGUAGGCAUAAAGAUAUGAAAAGGGCAUGAAUAAAAAAAAAUAAUUUCUUUUAGGGUAAAUGACUAAAUACAUAUAGUCAGGAUGAAUGUAAGAGCAGAAAAAUAUUUAGUUAAAAGGAAAAUGAAUUUAGGUAGAUAAGAUAUAGAUGUAUACAGUAAAUAAAUAUUUAGAUUAUAAAUAAGGGUGAUGAUGAAUUAAAAUAUAAAAGGUAAGCAUUUAGCAGAAAAAGAGGAAUGGAAGGGAAUAUAAUAAAAGGGCAGUAAGGUGGAAGGCUAACCUUUAGUGUUCAUACACAUAGGAUAGUGCAAAUGGAGAGAAUACAAAAUUAUAUCGAUGAUGGGAUGAUUGGCCGGGACGCGAAGAGUUGCAAUUUUGGACUAAUUUUCCCUAGGUUCGAAAUCCAAAUUAGGGCUCUACCAGUAUGAUGGGAGGAUCUCGAUUUUAAGAUUUCAAGAUUUUUUUAAUUUUAAAUGAAUAAAAAUUACUAUACAAUAAAUUAGCCAAACAAAAUAUAAAUACAAAUGUGACAUAUAUAAGAGAAAAGAUGACAUAUAUUUAAGUUGUCCAAAGAUAAAAAUGAAAAUUGUGAAAAUGGUAAUACUCAUGACAUUAAAUAAAUAGAUAAAUAAUUAAAAUAUUUGAGGAUGGAAAAUUCCAAAUAAUAAAUAUGUUUAAAACAUAAAAUUUAAAUAUCUAGUUGUAUAAAAUACAUAUAGUAAUAAAUUUAUAAGUGUUAUGAAAAGGGAAUAGGGUAGAUAAUAAAAAGAGAAAAAUGGAAUAUACAUAUAUAAUUAUGAAAUUGGAUAUCUUGCUAUAGAUUUUGAGUGAAAAGAUAGUUUAUAUAGUAAAAAAUAUACACUUAAAUAACAUAGAAAUAUAUAUAAUUCAUAAUAUGCAUAAUUAUAAAAGGAAACAUAGAAAAAGAGAGUCCCUAAGAAAUAGCAUGGAAGACAUAGAAAAGCUUAGAAAUAAAAAAUAAUAAUAAAUAAUGAAUUCUAUAAGCAUAGCAUAUGUCUUUAUUGCAUCAUGCAUGUUAUGGCAUAUAGAUAAUGUUGUCCAUGAGUAUAAGUCCCGCUGAUGGGAUUUUUCGAAAAUCUUACGAAGGCGAGUUUCUCUCGAAAAGUUUCUUAGGUGAAAGGAUGUCUCCAGGUCUCACCAGUACGAUGGGAGGCUCGGGAAACAUCUUUAACAAAAAGGCUUUUGCUUGUAAUAGGUUUACAUUCAUAAAAAUAUUUUUUUUCCAAAAAGUGUACAAUACCCCUGAGGAUGGGAUUUAUUCGUCAAAUUUGCGAUGGUGAAUUUCUCGGAUAAUUCUCUAGAUGAGAGAAUAUCCCCGGAUCCCACCAGUAUGAUGGGCGGAUUCGAAAGAAUGUCCUCAAUAAAAGGUUACUCGUUCGACAUUAUUUGAAUUUUAUGCCAUGCGUUUUACAAUACCUCAUGUGCACACCAUACCUUAGAGUCAAAUAAAAUAUCUUAAUAAAAUAAAGGAUAAAAUAAGUGAAAAAUAACUAAGGAAACAUAAUAAAUUUAAGGAUUAAGGCCCUAAUAGGAUAAUUAAAAAUCAAAUGAUAUCGUUCAUGAAACGGGUGUCAUGGGGGUGCUAAUCCUUCCCUGGGCGUAAUCGCACUCUCGAACCUAAUCCUAAAAAAACGUAGACCAGUUUAAAUUUCUCUCGAUGAACUUAAAAUCAAUUUAAGAUCCCGUCGAUUAGAAUCGAGUCAAUAGGUGCCCAAUCACACCUAGAACAAAGAUUGGUGGCGAUUCCUAGUGUUUUUCCCACAUCUAGCUAUCGGGUUCUCGGACUCGCACGUUACGAAAAAUACCAUGUUCAUGGAAAGGAUUAUGAACUUAGGACCACCAUUCCAUAUAGCUCGCAAUAGCAUUGUCAUUAACAUUUAGAGGAUGAGCUGUAGAAAUUAAUUUUGACUAAGUAUUGGAAAGCUUGCAAGUUUGCCAAAAAUUUAAUAAGUCAUCCACUAUGCUAAAGUGAAUAUCAAUCUUAAGAAUCCCAAGGACAUCUUGGCAGAGCCAAAUUGUCUUCCAAAUCGAUAAGGAUUAUAAGGCUCUAUGAUGGUGGUGUUGUGGCAUCAAACAAGCAAGUAGUUAAAUGAACGCUAAAUAGUCAUGUCAUGAUGGAUUAAGUAGCUUAGUAUCGAUGAUAAUCUCAUCUUGAUUUUUGGAAUAUAAACUAGCAUCCCACACUAAUUUUGUGUGAAUCAAUUGAUGUGCUUCUUGUUCACAAAAAUAUUUGGGCCCGCUUUCUCCAGAAAACUUCACCAUCAUGGGUCCAAUUACUUCCUGUGGAGUUGGAAAGUGAGUUUCAAAAUAAUGACCCAACCACCCAUAAACAUAGUGACUAGGAAAACAUGCAUCUGAAGAACCGACUUGAGUAAAAAGGACAAUCUUAUUACUCCCUUGAAAGAUUUUGGCAAGUAUUGGAAUAACAAGGUUAGCAUUUUUAGUGCUAGUUGCUAUAAGGCUAGCGAUUUUAAAUAUCUAUGGUCGAAUGCUAGAUUCUAUGCUUGGAAAAACAAAUACAUAGAACCAACAAGAAAAGAAAGUAGCCAAGUAAGUAUCACUCGUAUAAUUUUCUUUGGCAUCUUUACAUUUCGGUGGACUUAAUUGUGCUGCAAGUAUUCAUUAUGCUACAUUUCGUUGGCAUCUCUAUAACCAUGUAAAUAAUGAAAGGCAGCAAAUAGGUAUUCACAACUUUUAUGAAGAAAUCUCCCUUUAGCACCAACACCAAUCAAUUCUUUGGUAGAUGAAAUGACUUCAUCAUAAAACUAACCAUGAAUAAAAAGACCACCCAAUUUGUGCAAAUCCCAUAAUGAUAGGGAAACUUCUCUAAAAGCGGUAUGAAAGGUGUUCGUGGUUGGACACCAACCUUUAUAGCAUGCUCGAAUAACAUCCUUGUUGUGAUCAUAAGCAUAUAAAGACACAUAAAUAGCAACAGUAAUAUUCAUAUUAUGUAAAAAUUUCUUACGCCGAAAUAACACAUCUUUAGUCUGUUCCCAAUACUUGGGGACAUAAUUAAAUUCCCCAUUAAUCUUGAAAGAAUUUCGUUGAUAAGCCUUAUUAGAAACUAUGACUAGAAGUCUUAUCAUGAAGAUAGGGUUAAAUACAUCGCACUUUUGAAGAAGAUUAUGAAAUUUUGAUUGACUUAGAAGUCUAUUCCUCCAAAAUUGUAGAGCAAUUGAUGAUUAAGAUGGCAAAAUUCGACCAAAUAUGCAUCUCAUCGUGGGAAGAAAUAACCCUUACCUCAUAUUUUAUUCUUUUUGGAAAGAAUGACAAGUUAAUUUUUGUAGUCCUUGAAGUAUACCAUGAUGAUUCCCAAUUGUGCUAUUAUAAAUAGCACCUUCCAAAGAUUAACAAUUGUGCUAUUAUAAAGAGCACCUUCCAAGGAUCAAUAAUUGUACUAUCAUAAAGAGCACCCUUUAACGAUUAGCAAUUGUGCUAUUAUAAAGAGCACACUCUAAGGAUCAAGUUGAAAUUGUACACUCACCAAGGCUAUUACUGCCAAUUUCUUCCAUUCCGAUUUGGGCUUGUCUUGAUUAUAGACUAAUAAAUUUGAGAUUUAACUGUCGAAAGGAAAUCAAAUCAUUAGUCUAAAUGAAGAAAGUAAUUAAUUAAGAAAUGAAAUCUAUAAAAAAAAUACAACAAAGGCACUGAGAAAAGAAAUCGGUAAAUAGUUAAUGGUGGUCUAAUGGGAUAUCAAGAUUAUUUAGCCUUAAAAUUAGAAGGAUUUGUUUGUAAUUAUCAAACAUUGAUAGCAUCUUUUCAUGCCUUUGGAGGCUAGGAGCCUAUGCUUGUUCUGCUUUAUUCUAAUGUAGGAUAUGGAUUUGGAAGACUUAUAUUAAAUAAUUUUUUUAAAAAAAGAGACAAAGUAUGAAAUUAACAAAUGAAGAACAAAGGAUAAUUAUAAUAUUGGUAAUGUGUAAUAACUUUAUUAUAUAGAGUUAUUUAGCUACAUUUUGGGAGGAUAAAAUAGCUAAGUCUUUGUGUUUUAAGUCAGUUUUAGAUAGUUUUUAGGUUUUUAGUUAAUUAAUUCAAAGCAUGCUGAUUUACUUUAAUUCUAGUAAUUUUAGUUCAAAUUCAUAUUGAAAGUCUCAAUUUAAGUCAAUGAUGAUUUGGUCUUUAAUAUUGUAGGUUCACCUAUGCUUAAAGUUAAAUGUUGGUGAACAAGGCAAUGGAGACUAAGUGCAGAUUUCUAUUGAACAUGUUGUGGUGAUUCGAACAUAACUUGAGCUACAAAGAUCCAAUCAACUUGAUUUUUAAACCAUUGCAAAGUUGAGAGGCAGACUUACAAUUUUCAUGUUACCAUUUAACCAAUAUCAGCAUUGAGGUAGGAGAAAGUUAUGUUGAAAGAUGAGGCACUGCAGCAGUUUCGUACCAAGGCAGUAAAAGUGGCUUUGCCACUGAUAAUUCUAUGAGAUAGAAUUAUUUUGUGUCAAAUUAUUCUUAAAAGUUAGCAAAGUUUUUGAGUUUAAGUUAGAAUUUAAUUAUUUUUAGUUAUUUUUUUAUUUAGUUUAUUUUUAUUAAGUUAAUUUAAUUUUAGAUUUACUUAUCUUAAUUUAGUUAUUAUUUAUUAGUUUUUAUAUUUUUGCAAGAUUCUAGGAUAAUAAGGCUUAAUUGGGUGAAAAAAGGUGUUUAAGGAAUUUAGAUCCAGUUCAUACAUGUCAUGGUAUUUUGAGCACACUUUUGCUCUAGAACUUCAAAUGAUGUGAUUCUUGGAUCAUUGAAAACAUAAGAGACAGAGCCACAACUUUCAUAAAGAUCACUUUGCCCAGUUUUGCCUUGAAAAGGGAUAAAAUGACAGUCAAAUUUGAUGGAGUGCAAUAGUUGACUAGACGAAGACAUGUAGUAAAUGGAGAAUCAUGGCUUAGAUGGAGUGUGCCACAGAGUCGAGCUAGAAAACUUGAAGAAACAAAACUGAAAAGAACAAGUUAAGGGCUGACUAAGUUCCUAUUGGGCCUUACACUUAUUCUAAGCCCAAAUUAAUAGUUUUUAGGCCAAAGUAGUUUAGUUUAAGUAGAAUUAGGUUAACUUAGGUUAUAAAUAGUUAGCUUAAGGAAAAGUUAGCCAAAUAUACAUGUACAAAUAUACAAACACGACCCCGAAGAUAUUCAAGAAGCUAGAAGUUGAGGUUGAAGCUUGGAGAGUAAGGUUGCAAAUAUUUGUUUUGUUUUCUUCUUUAACUUUUAUCAUUCUUGAAAACUAUUAAUGUCUAAACUUUAUAUGAUUUUAGUUUUUAUUUUCUCUAUGUCUAACUAAAUUUAUUUUUUUAGGAUUGCAAUUGAAUUCACAUGUAGUUUAGAUUUUUAAUUUCUUUUUAGUUUAUUUUAAAUGGGAUUUGGUUGUUUAUUCCAAUUUGUUCUUAAUGCUUUUAAUUGCCUGAUCACCAAUUAAAUUGAUUUGGGAACCUAAACAAACUUGAGAAAGGGAGUUUAGUGUAGACUAAAAUAAGAAUAGUGUAUGAUCCUAUUGAUUUGAUUAAAUGAAUAAAUUGAAUUGAUUUAUGUAUAGAAUAGGAAUAUACCUAUAUUCUGUAUGUAGCCAAAUUAGAGUCUGAACUUAAUGAGUUUAUUUUAAUUUCAAUUCACAUAAGAUUAUAGUGUUUUUGUCACGACCCGGUACUCUCCUCGAGCCCGUGACAACCGCCGCGGUGUCCCGAUCGACACUCAUUACCCAGAAUGUUAAUCGGAACCCCACAAGGCUUUAAUAUCAGUUUCUCAUUUCUCCUGUGAGUAACCGUUGCCAAAUAUCAUGUUCUAAAAAAUUUUAAGCUAUUUCCAACUUAAAUCAAUAAAAAAAAUGAUUUAUGUCUCACAGGGGCAUUUUGGUAAUUUUUUCCUAAAAAUUUCAAAACCAGCUAAAAAUGUAGUAUGCGAGUAUAAAACACAUAAUUCAUAAUCAAAAAUAAGUUUAAACAUCUAAAACAUUCAUUUAAAGUGAAAUUAUAACUAUUUAAAUAUAAUAAAAAUAUUCAAUAAAAUAUUUUAUUUUCUUAUAAAACAAUAUUUAUAGAGUUACUGGUAAAUAAUUUUUGUAGCGUAAAAGCUAAAUAAAUUCAUACAUACUGUAAUACAGAUAACCAAAGCAUAAGAUUUAAUUUACACUGACACGUGGGCCCACAAACGACCAAAAGUAUCAAAAGCGGUAAACCUACAGUUUUUUAGGAUGCAAGUCCAACUGUAGCCCUCAACGAAAUGAGCUAUUUACCGACUAUCCUGAGCCUGAAAUGGGUGGAAAGGAGGGUGGUGAGAUUAUAUAAACCUAGUGAGUAAACAAAUAUCAUCUAAAAUAUCUAAAGCUGAGUAAAUGGAGACAGAUAAAAUAGAUUAGAAUAAAAAUGAUUCACAGCAUUUCGAACUCAUUUUAAUAAGAUAAAAUAGAUUCAUUUCACCCAAAUAAACAACGAGGCUUAUGAUUUCCUGAAAAGUUUGGCUCGUGCCAAAAUCAUUCUCAUACUCAGUUUUUAGGGAUACCUUGGCCUGGGGCUAUCCCAACUGAGUCCGCCAAAGCUGUUAAAAAGUCAUGUACGCAUAAAUCAUGUUUUUUAUUUUGAAAACAUAGCCGUUCCUUGGCGUUGGCUAAGUUCACCCUCACGUGGUGGUUUGGCGUGAAGUGAACUCUAAAGUUGUACCUCGGGAGUUACCCUACGCGCCUCUCCAAUCGAGGUAAGAAUAUAAUGGGAUUUUGUGCCCCUCAAAAAGGUUGGUCCACAAAACCCGCACACCGCAGCAAGCUAAACCCACCAUACAAUAAAAUUUGCGAUAGCAUGAUAUGACAAUUAUUUUAUUUUACAGCCUCUCAAGGCAAAUCAACAAUUCAUACAUUUUCAGCACAUUUACCAAUUCAACCAUUUAUGCCAAUAUUAUCAUAAGCCAUUCAGUUCAAACCAUGAUUUAUAACACAACAAUUAGUCUCCAAUUACUCCAUUUUCAAAACCAUCUUUCAAUUUCAAGACAAUUUUAUAAAAUCAUUUCAUUUAAUCACAUUUUGCUUAUAAAACAUAAAGAUUUACCAUUUAAACUCAUUUUUCUAUCAAAUCACAAAAAUGAAUAAAAACUACUUUAGAUAAUUAAGACGAUAAUAAGGUUACUCACUAUAUCAGGAGUUUGAAUUUUUGAGUCCUCCGACUAUUGAUCCUUGGGUGUAAUUUCUUUGCCCUUUCUCGGAGGAUUCACCACCUAGACAUAAUGCAAAAUCAAGCAAUUUACCACAUUGGUGCUAAACCGUUAUAAAACUAAUCUAAACUUUAUAUGAAUGCAUGAUAUGGAAGGCGAAUUGUUCGGAUUAUCGUCUAUAUGCGAUGUUGGCCUAACUCGAUCUACCACCCGAUUAAUUGGCCAAUAUGUCCAAUUCAACUCCAAAUAAUUCCAUUUCUCUCCCAAUACUUCAAAUCACCAAACACAAGUCAAAAACAUAAAAUUUAGCAAAACCAUCAUCACAUUUCUUCUUGAAAAUUUCGGCCAUGGUGAGUGCAUCAACACUAUGAUUUUUCCUCCUUGAUUUUCUCAACAUAAUUCAUCAUUUCCUAACCAAUUCACUUGAAAUAAAAUCAAAUCCACCAUCAACACUCUACAAGGAAGAUUCAGCAAAUGAUGAACUCAUGAGGAAUAUGUGAAUUUCAAGAUUAAUUCUUACACUUAACACCAUAAACAACUAAAAACAUCCAUAUAUCUUAAAAAUCUAUCUAAAUCAUCAUCAAAUUCUCUCUCCUAGGGUUUGAUCAGUACACUAUCCUUCAUGAUAUCUUUUGAUUCAACCAUGGAAAAUGCAAAAUAAUGCAUAGGAAAGAUAGAUCACAAGCUAGAGUUAAGAAAUUUCACCUUUGAUGGCUUGAUUACUUGAAAUCCACCAAUUUUCUCUUGAAUUUUCACUCUAGGGUUUUGUUCUUCUUCUUUUCUUCCCUUUUUUUCCUUUGGCUGGCCAAGAGAAAUGAGUUGGG